rnacentral:rRNA from 1 species
UGGGGAAUUUUGCACAAUGGGGGAAACCCUGAUGCAGCGACGCCGCGUGAUUUAGAAGGCCUUCGGGUUGUAAAAAUCUUUUUUACGGGAUGAAAAUGACAGUACCGUAAGAAUAAGGUCCGGCUAAAUACGUGCCAGCAGCCGCGGUAAUACGUAUGGACCGAGCGUUGUCCGGAAUCAUUGGGCGUAAAGGGUACGUAGGCGGCCUAGUAAGUUAGAAGUGAAAUAAUAUAGCUCAACUAUAUAAAGCUUUUAAAACUGCUAGGCUUGAGAGAUGGAAGGGAAAGUGGAAUUCCUAGUGUAGCGAUGAAAUGCGCAGAUAUUAGGAAGAAUACCGGUGGCGAAGGCGACUUUCUGGUCAUCAUCUGACGCUGAGGUACGAAAGCGUGGGUAGCAAACAGG